GCUACGGGCGGCAGCAGUGAGGAAUAUUGGUCAAUGGACGAGAGUCUGAACCAGCCAAGUAGCGUGAAGGAUGACUGCCCUAUGGGUUGUAAACUUCUUUUAUAAAGGAAUAAAACGAGGCACGUGUGCCUUUUUGCAUGUACUUUAUGAAUAAGGAUCGGCUAACUCCGUGCCAGCAGCCGCGGUAAUACGGAGGAUCCGAGCGUUCGCCGGAUUUAUUGGGUUGAAAGGGAGCUUAGAUGGGUUGUUAAGUCAGGUGUGAAAGUUUUCAGCUCAACCGUAAAAUUGCAAUUGAUACUGGCAGUCUUGAGGACAGUGGAGGUAGGCGGAAUUCGUGGUGUAGCGGUGAAAUGCUUAGAUAUCACGAAGAACCCCGAUUGCGAAGGCAGCUUACUAAACUGUGACUGACAUUGAUGCUCGAAAGUGUGGGUAUCAAACAGGAUUAGAUACCCCGGUAGUC
rnacentral:rRNA from 1 species